ACAAUUCAGGAGCUAAUAUAGUACUGAUUAUAUGGAAAGUCUCACAGUCAGAUGCUGGAAUAUACUACUGUAAUGGAUCUACAGUGGAACUGAUCGUGAAUGGAAUCUGCACAGUCAGCUCAAUCACAUCUGCGACAACUAAAGCAUCAACUACGCAAAAAACAAUAUCUACAACCAGAUCCAAAACAUCUACAACUGCAACACCAACUACGCAAUCGAAAAAAUCGUCCACCAGAUCCAACACAUCUACAACAUCAACUAAGCAAUCAACAAAAUCCUUAAUCACAUCCACCAUGUCUACAACUGCAACAACAUCUACACAACCAAGAACAACUUUAACCAGUACUGUACCGGAAAACUCAACUCAAGUAUCAGCAGGUCUGCGGAUGGCGCUGAUCACAGCCGGAGGAUGUGUGGUUGCUGUGCUCCUGAUUGUGUUGCUAUGGAGAUGCUUCUUUAAAA